GUACGUGAAAUUGUUGAAAGGGAAGCUCUUGCUACCAGACUUGCCUGUGGUUGCUCAACCCUUACGGGUGUACUCUUCCGCAGGCAGGCCAGCGUCAGUUUGGGCGGCCGGAUAAAGGCCCUAGGAAUGUAGCCUCUCCGGGGGUGUUAUAGCCUAGGGUGCAAUGCGGCCAGCCCGGACUGAGGACCGCGUCUUACUAGGAUGCUGGCGUAAUGGUCGCAAGCGACCCGUCUUGAAACACGG
rnacentral:rRNA from 1 species